rnacentral:rRNA from 1 species
AGUGAACGCUGGCGGUAGGCCUAACACAUGCAAGUCGAACGGCAGCACAGUAAGAGCUUGCUCUUACGGGUGGCGAGUGGCGGACGGGUGAGGAAUACAUCGGAAUCUACUUUUUCGUGGGGGAUAACGUAGGGAAACUUACGCUAAUACCGCAUACGACCUACGGGUGAAAGCAGGGGAUCUUCGGACCUUGCGCGAUUGAAUGAGCCGAUGUCGGAUUAGCUAGUUGGCGGGGUAAAGGCCCACCAAGGCGACGAUCCGUAGCUGGUCUGAGAGGAUGAUCAGCCACACUGGAACUGAGACACGGUCCAGACUCCUACGGGAGGCAGCAGUGGGGAAUAUUGGACAAUGGGCGCAAGCCUGAUCCAGCCAUACCGCGUGGGUGAAGAAGGCCUUCGGGUUGUAAAGCCCUUUUGUUGGGAAAGAGAAGCAGCAGGUUAAUACCCCGCUGUUCUGACGGUACCCAAAGAAUAAGCACCGGCUAACUUC